UCACAGAGACACCGUCUAUUUCUUGGGGUAAUCAUGCCUGUGUUAAAAGAGGCCUGCAUCUUCGGUGGCUAUCAGAGUCUGAAAAAUUGGAAUCCUGCAAAACAGUCCCACAAUUUUGUAAAACACAGGAACAUUCGAAAUGUAAUUGGAAGUGCUUUCUGACAACAACAUCUGCUCUCCUCACCACGCACAGGCUUUUCUUUUAGAGCACUGUUUUGAGGGUGCAGAACGUUUAGCCCCCUGCAAGAAGUCAUCAAUCUUUUCUGGAUCCCAGUUUUAAGAAACCAAGGACAUCAUGCUGGUUAUUGGAACAAUGUAUUCUCUUCCAACUCUACAAUAACAUCACCAAACAGCAUAGCAACGGUACCCAGCACCCUGUGCCAAGACUCCUCUCCGUGCUUGUGUGUAUUCCCUUACAUGGACCCCUGAGUUCACACUGCUGCCUUUACUCUGCACAGAAGGGGAAAAGAGGCACCCCACAGUGCGACAUCUAGUGGCAGGUGGAGAAGGGACAGCAGCAAAGCAGGUGGGCCUCCUGGCCCUGUACUCAGAGUUGUCCUGCUUAUAAAGUGAUUACGAGAAUUGACUUUUGAAA